UAGAAAAUAAUAUAAGGGGAGUAUAGAGAGCUUUGAUUUCUCUAGUGCAGGUUCGAUCCCUGCUUUUCUAA
rnacentral:tRNA from 1 species